rnacentral:rRNA from 1 species
UGGUGGAGCGAUUUGUCUGGUCAAUUCCGAUAACGAACGAGACUCUAGCCUACUAAAUAGUUCGGGGACCCCCACAAAGGGGCCCCGCUCACUCUUAGAGGGACAGGUGGCGUUUAGCCACACGAGAUUGAGCAAUAACA